AGAGUUUGAUCCUGGCUCAGAAUGAACGCUGGCGGCAGGCCUAACACAUGCAAGUCGAACGGGUGUCUUCGGGCACUAGUGGCGGACGGGUGAGUAACGCGUGGGAACAUACCCAAAGGUACGGAAUAGCCUCGGGAAACUGAGAGUAAUACCGUAUGUGCCCUUCGGGGGAAAGAUUUAUCGCCUUUGGAUUGGCCCGCGUUGGAUUAGGUAGUUGGUGGGGUAAUGGCCUACCAAGCCGACGAUCCAUAGCUGGUUUGAGAGGAUGAUCAGCCACACUGGGACUGAGACACGGCCCAGACUCCUACGGGAGGCAGCAGUGGGGAAUCUUAGACAAUGGGGGAAACCCUGAUCUAGCCAUGCCGCGUGAUCGAUGAAGGCCUUAGGGUUGUAAAGAUCUUUCAGAUGGGAAGAUAAUGACGGUACCAUCAGAAGAA
rnacentral:rRNA from 1 species